GGCACGGUGGCUUAGUGAUUAGCACGUUUGCCUCAUACCCCCGGGUUUGCGGGUUCGAUUCCUGCCUCUGCCC